CCAAGGAAGGCAGCAGGCGCGCAAAUUACCCCACUCCCAGCACGGGGAGGUAGUGACGAAAAAUAACAAUACGGGACUCUUUUGAGACCCCGUAAUUGGAAUGAGUACACUUUAAAUCCUUUAACGAGGAUCCAUUGGAGAGCAAGUCCGGUGCCAGCAGUCGCGGUAAUUCCAGCUCCAAUAGCGUAUAUUAAAGUUGUUGCGGUUAAAAAGCUCGUAGUUGGAUCUCAGCUCCGGCCGGACGGUCCGCCUACCGGUGGUUACUGUUCGUUGCCGAGCGUUCAGUUGGUCUGCUUGGAUGAUCUUAAAAAGUUGUCCUGGCCGUCCAGCAAGUUUACUUUGAAAAAAUUAGAGUGCUCAACGCAGGCGUGACGCCUGAAUAUUUGUGCAUGGAAUAAUGGAAUAGGACCUCGGUUCUAUUUUGUUGGUUUUCGGAACACGAGGUAAUGAUUAAGAGGGACAGACGGGGGCAUUCGUAUUGCGACGCUAGAGGUGAAAUUCUUGGACCGUCGCAAGACGAACUACUGCGAAAGCAUUUGCCAAGAAUGUUUCCAUUAAUCAAGAACGAAAGUUAGAGGUUCGAAGGCGAUCAGAUACCGCCCUAGUUCUAACCAUAAACGAUGCCAGCCAGCGAUCCGGCUGUGUUCCUCAAAUGACACGCCGGGCAGCUUCCGGGAAACCAAAGCUUUUGGGUUCCGGGGGAAGUUGGUSA
rnacentral:rRNA from 1 species